AUUGAACGCUGGCGGCAUGCCUUACACAUGCAAGUCGAACGCCCCGCAAGGGGAGUGGCAGACGGGUGAGUAACGCGUGGGAAUCUACAGUGCCCUACGGAACAACAGGUGGAAAAGACUGCUAAUACCGUAUACGCCCUACGGGGGAAAGAUUUAUCGGGGUAUGAUGAGCCCGCGUUGGAUUAACUAGGUGGUGGGGUAAAGGCCUACCAAGGCGACGAUCCAUAGCUGGUCUGAGAGGAUGAUCAGCCACAUUGGGACUGAGACACGGCCCAAACUCCUACGGGAGGCAGCAGUGGGGAAUAUUGGACAAUGGGCGCAAGCCUGAUCCAGCCAUGCCGCGUGAGUGAUGAAGGUCUUAGGAUUGUAAGGCUCUUUCACCGACGAAGAUAAUGACGGUAGUCGAAGAAGAAGCCCCGGCUAACUUCGUGCCAGCCGCCGCCGUAA
rnacentral:rRNA from 1 species